rnacentral:rRNA from 1 species
UACGGGGGGGGCAAGCGUUGUUCGGAAUUACUGGGCGUAAAGGGCUCGUAGGCGGCCAACUAAGUCGGACGUGAAAUCCCCAGGCUCAACCUGGGAACUGCGUCCGAUACUGGAUGGCUUGAAUUCGGGAGAGGGAUGCAGAAUUCCAGGUGUAGCGGUGAAAUGCGUAGAUAUUGGGAGGAACACCUGCGGCGAAGGCGGCUACCUGGACAGAAACUGACGCUGAGGCGCGAAAGCUAGGGGAGCGAACGGG